GACGAACGCUGGCGGCGUGCCUAAUACAUGCAAGUAGGACGCAGUUGCGAACGGGUGAGUAACGCGUAGGUAACUACCUAUUAGAGGGGGAUAACUAUUGGAAACGAUAGCUAAUACCGCAUACUAGUAGAUGGACCUGCGUUGUAUUAGCUAGUAGGUAGGGUAAUGGCCUACCUAGGCAACGAUACAUAGCCGACCCGGACGGGUGAUCGGGCACACGUGGAAUUGUACAAGGCCCAGACCCCCACGGGGGGCAGGAGUAGGGAAUCGUCGGCAAUUGGUGGAACCCUGACCGAGGCACGCCGCGGUAGUUAAGAAGGUUUUCGGAGCGGAAAGCUCUUUUGUUAAGGAAGCGGUACUUAACCAGAAAGGGACGGCUAACUACGUGCCAGCAGCCGCGGUAAUAC
rnacentral:rRNA from 1 species